GAUGAACGCUGGCGGCGUGCCUAAUACAUGCAAGUCGAGCGAACGGACGAGAAGCUUGCUUCUCUGAUGUUAGCGGCGGACGGGUGAGUAACACGUGGAUAACCUACCUAUAAGACUGGGAUAACUUCGGGAAACCGGAGCUAAUACCGGAUAGUAUUUUGAACCGCAUGGUUCAAAAGUGAAAGACGGUCUUGCUGUCACUUAUAGAUGGAUCCGCGCUGCAUUAGCUAGUUGGUAAGGUAACGGCUUACCAAGGCAACGAUGCAUAGCCGACCUGAGAGGGUGAUCGGCCACACUGGAACUGAGACACGGUCCAGACUCCUACGGGAGGCAGCAGUAGGGAAUCUUCCGCAAUGGGCGAAAGCCUAACGGAGCAACGCCGCGUGAGUGAUGAAGGUCUUCGGAUCGUAAAACUCUGUUAUUAGGGAAGAACAUAUGUGUAAGUAACUGUGCACAUCUUGACGGUACCUGAUCAGAAAGCCACGGCUAACUACGUG
rnacentral:rRNA from 1 species